rnacentral:rRNA from 1 species
UGGGGAAUUUUGGACAAUGGGCGCAAGCCUGAUCCAGCAAUGCCGCGUGAGUGAAGAAGGCCCUCGGGUUGUAAAGCUCUUUUGUCAGGGAAGAAAAGGUGAUCUCUAAUACAGGUCACUCAUGACGGUACCUGAAGAAUAAGCACCGGCUAACUACGUGCCAGCAGCCGCGGUAAUACGUAGGGUGCAAGCGUUAAUCGGAAUUAAUGGGCGUAAAGCGUGCGCAGGCGGUUAUAUAAGUCAGAUGUGAAAUCCCCGGGCUCAACCUGGGAACUGCAUUUGAGACUGUAUGGCUAGAGUGUGUCAGAGGGGGGUAGAAUUCCACGUGUAGCAGUGAAAUGCGUAGAUAUGUGGAGGAAUACCGAUGGCGAAGGCAGCCCCCUGGGAUAACACUGACGCUCAUGCACGAAAGCGUGGGGAGCAAACA